GGAAAAGAAGCCUAUUAAUGCUGCAUUGCUCUCCAGAUGCUGGGACUGUACAGGAAGGAAAUGAUGUCUGAAGUGAGGGAAGAUGGACUGUUAAUUCAAACAACACAAUUCCACCUGCUGUCAAGAAUGAUUACAGAUCAGAAGGAUUUUUUCAGGGUGCUCCUCAUUACUCCAGCCCUACCGAAAACCACUUUUUGGUGA
rnacentral:lncRNA from 1 species